rnacentral:rRNA from 1 species
CCCUUAGAUGUCCUGGGCUGCACGCGCGCUACACUGACACAUGCAGCGAGUGUUCCUGGUCCGGUGGGACUAGGUACUCUUUUGAACGUGUGUCGUGAUGGGGAUAGAUUAUUGCAAUUAUUAAUCUUCAACGAGGAAUUCCUAGUAAGUGCAAGUCAUCAGCUUGCGCUGAUUACGUCCCUGCCCUUUGUACACACCGCCCGUCGCUCCUACCGAUUGAAUGUUCCGGUGAAUAAUUCGGACUGCAGUCGUGGGGUCUGUACCACUGCGACUGUGGGAAGUUUAGUGAACCUUAACAUUUAGAGGAAGGAGAANUCGUANCA